rnacentral:rRNA from 1 species
UACGUAGGGGGCGAGCGUUGUCCGGAUUUAUUGGGCGUAAAGAGCUCGUAGGCGGUUUGGUAAGUCGGGUGUGAAAUCUCCACCGCUCAACGUGGAGGGCCACUCGAGUAGCUGCCAUGACUCGAGUCCGGUAGAGGAGUGUGGAAUUCCCGGUGUAGCGGUGAAAUGCGCAGAUAUCAGGAGGAACACCGGUGGCGAAGGCGGGUCUCCGUGGGCCGAAAAUGGACGCUGGAGGAAGCGGAAAGGCAGUGGGGAGCAAACAGGA